rnacentral:misc_RNA from 1 species
GUGAAUCAUCAAAUUUUUGAACGCAAAUUGCACUCUCUUCGGAGAGUAUGCCUGUUUGAGGGUCAGCCUAAAAAAAAAUCGACAUAGUCGCUGUUUCGCGGUGACAGUCGUCUGAAUUUGGUUAAUAUUAAACAUUUGGGUUUUAAGCUGCUUAAAAUUUUUUUUACGAUUCUACGAACGUUUCUAAUAUUUACUUCUUAUACGUUUAAGUUAUCGAUAUUUAUUGGACGGAGCCGUUGA